AGAAGAAGAAGAAGAAAAAUAGAAGAACUGCCAUAACACCUGAAAGGGUUCAUGCUAUAGACAUUACAGUGGUGUUGGAAUUAAAGGAUUUAUUAUUUGACAUCACAACUAGACCCACUGAGGCUCUUCCGUACGUCGCGUGCCAGUGUCCCUGUCUUGGCUCAAUAAUCAGUGAUGACUCUCUUCUCUCCCAGUCCUUGAAAUCUGCAGCACAACACUAACUGCCUCUUUAAAAGUACUAAGAUGGACAUUUAAUUUUUCCCGAAGAGCGAAAUGACCGUCACAGUCUUUUAGUGGAAACUGAUAAGGAAUGCUGGAAAAAUCAUGGAAGAUUAAAUGCAACCUAUCAAUUUUCUUUUUUCUUGUAAAUUUAAACUUUUAAGUCAUAAUUAAAUAAUUUUCUUUUUAAGCCACUUCCCCUUGGGGAUCAAUAAAGUCUACUCUGAUUCCAAUUGGGUUGGCAGCACCCGAGACAGCCAAUCUCAAAGGAUGACCAGCCUGUUCAGGCGGAGCAACAGCAACAAAGGCUCUGAAAGCAGUGGAGGUAGAGAUGGGGGCGGCACUACUAGUGGGCAGCUCAACAACAGCAGGCCGAACCGGUCGGUCAGGCACCUGGAGUUCAAUCAGGCCAUGGAAGACUUCAAGACCAUGUUUCCCUCCAUGGACUACGAGGUGAUUGAGUGUGUUCUGCGUUCCAACAAAGGAGCUGUGGACGCCACUAUCGACCAGCUGCUUCAAAUGAGCAUUGAAGGACAUCACUCAGACGAUACCUCGGACUCAGAUGACAGCAUCCCAGCAGAGAUUCUGGAGCAGACCCAGGAACCCGACAGCUCAGAUGAAGAACCACCUCCAGUUUACUCUCCUCCAAAAUCCAACAUGUACUCUGACUGGAAGCACCCAGAGACACACAAAGUGUCUCCUCCACAAUCGGAGAGCCAUGUGCCAGCAGACGACCAGCAAGUUCGAAUCUACAGGAACUGGAACCCCCCGCUGCUCGGAAAUCUUCCAGAGGACUUUUUGAGGAUUUGGCCUCGGCAAUCAAACAGUGUGAAGCAGCACUCGCAAAGCAGUCCAUCUCAGGCCUCUUCAACCUCCUCAGUGUCUGUGUCCUCAACAAAUCAAAGAACAGCUCAGGCCGGUUCUGUGUUUGGAGCGACUUUGACUGCUGAGGGUCCUGAUAUGACAACGGGAUUGCAAGAGAACACACUGAUGCAGUAUUUGGAAGACGAGCGCAUAGCCCUGUUUCUGCAGAAUGAGGAGUUUUUGAAAGAGCUGAAGCGUAACCAUGAGUUCCUCGUUGCCUUAGAGAGAGAUGGGUUGAAGUAUGGAUCAAAGUCCAGGCAUUUAUCAAGCCUGGACACUUCCACAGGGGAGAGGUACUCAGCAGAUUCACAGGACCCUCCCUCAGAUGACGCACUAUUCAGAGACAAACUCAAGCACAUGGGUAAAUCAACAAGAAAGAAGCUCUUUGAAAUUGCCAGAACAUUUUCUGAAAGGACAAAGAGGAGAAAGUCUAAAAGAAAGACUCUCACACACUUAUAUCCUUCCUGUGACGUCACAUGGUUCUAAUAUAAAGUUGGUGGUUUUAUUCUGUGGUGGGAAUCUGAGGGAAAAUAGUCAACAUAGAUUUAUUAAAGUGUCGCUGACAUGAUGUGGGAGGGAUGCUUUAAUUGUCAAUUGUUUAAGUUUAUGCUACAUCAUUCACUUACAAUUAAGUUUUUAGAAAUAAAAUGCUGAUUGAAUGCAGAUAUGUUUUUAAACUUAGCCCUGUGAUGAGCUAGCUGGACGACUCCUUUACAGGACGUGAUGUAACGAGGGUAAUAUCCAGUAUGCCGCCAUGUUAGCAGGCUGUUUGUUUUUCUUAAUUAUGCCAGUGAACACAUAAGUCUGUUCUCCUUCCCAAAAGAUCAAAGUCUUAAGUAACAUCAUAAUACAACAUAGAUUUAUUAAAGUGUCGAUUGAAAAUACAGAGGCAAUACUUGUUUGUAUACGCAGCGCACAACUUGACUGCAGAGAGAGCCAUCCUUAGACUCGCUGGUUGCUGUGGUUACCCACCGUGGUGAUUUUGUUCUAACAUUAAGUAGCAUGCUGUCAGCAUACUCCAACUUAUUAUCACAGCAUAGUAAAAAUAAGUUAUGCUACCGAAUGAACAUUAGUGAAAGGGAAACGUCAUAAAGACCCAAACGCGCUGCAUGCAGGUGAGCGGAUAACUGAGGAGGAAACGGCUCAGAGUGAGACGAAGAGACGCUGUAUGGAAAAUAAAACCUCCGACAUCUGCACCAGAUACCAGGCGAAGACAAGCGACCUGUGCCUAAUUAUUGGGCACAGCCGACUCUACAGCAAAUCUCCUUGAAGAUAUCGAGGCAAACCCCAGUGAGGAAGAUGGUAAGCCAAGAAGAGGUAUCCUUCAGGAAGACAAACAACUUGACAAGCCAAUAUGAUGUUCUCCCAAGUGUCUGGAUAGACAAAGUCAACAGAUGAAGUGACGGAUCUGUCGGCUGUCAGCGGUGAAUACCUUCCACUUCUUGAUGCCCUUUUCUUGUUACAGUUAGGAUAAUUCUGGAUACAACUUUAAUCUGUUAGCUCUGUAUUUGACACAGGAUCCUAAUCAUGUAUUACUUUGAGAAUUCAAUGUCUUUUUUCAAGUAGUUCUGAUCAAUGCUUGAUCAACAUUAAACUUGACACAUUUUAAACACUUUCUGAGAGUUGGACUUAGAAGUACAGCUCAUUAUUUAGAUCUUCUCAAAUAAUGCAAAGGCUUUCAGUGUCAUAAGAUCUUCUCUAAUUUUUACGAAUGUUUUCAACUGAAAUGACUGAAAAUAAAAUUUCUUAACUUCA